rnacentral:rRNA from 1 species
GACGAACGCUGGCGGCGUGCUUAACACAUGCAAGUCGAGCGGUAAGGCCCUUUCGGGGGUACACGAGCGGCGAACGGGUGAGUAACACGUGGGUGACCUGCCCUCAGCUCUGGGAUAAGCCUGGGAAACCGGGUCUAAUACUGGAUAUGACUCCAUGACGCAUGUUGUGGGGUGGAAAGCCUUGUGCGGCUGAGGAUGGGCCCGCGGCCUAUCAGCUUGUUGGUGGGGNGAUGGCCUACCAAGGCGACGACGGGUAGCCGGCCUGAGAGGGCGACCGGCCACACUGGACUGAGACACGGCCCAGACUCCUACGGGAGGCAGCAGUGGGGAAUCUUGCGCAAUGGGCG